AUCGUGGUAGUUGCUACAAAUAAUUACAUAGUUAAUUAUCGUUAUUGUUACGGAUUAAGUAAGCUACUUACGUUAUUUCAAGAGGCUCUUUAGUAGUGUUGUUAGCAUAGCCCUUGAAAAUUCUCAUUAUUUUGGGAUUUAGAAGAUUCAGCUGGUAGCUUUGGAUGAUACAGCCGUUGUAACUAUAUACAUCAUAAUAUUAGUACAAUUAUUUAGUUUACUUAAGAGCAAAAGCCAGAUCCUUCUGGCUUUUGAUCCAAGUUUUAUGCUACCAGUUUUAUGACAAAUUUAGUAACCAGAUUCGCAUACCCGUUUUGUUUUUCGUUAAG